rnacentral:rRNA from 1 species
AGUGAACGCUGGCGGUGGGCCUAACACAUGCAAGUCGAACGGCAGCACAGUAAGAGCUUGCUCUUACGGGUGGCGAGUGGCGGACGGGUGAGGAAUACAUCGGAAUCUACUUUUUCGUGGGGGAUAACGUAGGGAAACUUACGCUAAUACCGCAUACGACCUACGGGUGAAAGCAGGGGAUCUUCGGACCUUGCGCGAUUGAAUGAGCCGAUGUCGGAUUAGCUAGUUGGCGGGGUAAAGGCCCACCAAGGCGACGAUCCGUAGCUGGUCUGAGAGGAUGAACAGCCACACUGGAACUGAGACACGGUCCAGACUCCUACGGGAGGCAGCAGUGGGGAAUAUUGGACAAUGGGGGCAAGCCUGAUCCAGCCAUACCGCGUGGGUGAAGAAGGCCUUCGGGUUGUAAAGCCCUUUUGUUGGGAAAGAAAAGCAGCAGGUUAAUACCCCGCUGUUCUGACGGUACCCAAAGAAUAAGCACCGGCUAACUUCGUG